rnacentral:sRNA from 1 species
GCACAAGGCAGCCUCCUGCACCACAGC